GACGAACGCUGGCGGCGUGCUUAACACAUGCAAGUCGAACGGAAAGGCCCUGCUUUUGUGGGGUGCUCGAGUGGCGAACGGGUGAGUAACACGUGAGUAACCUGCCCUUGACUUUGGGAUAACUUCAGGAAACUGGGGCUAAUACCGGAUAGGAGCUCCUGCUGCAUGGUGGGGGUUGGAAAGUUUCGGCGGUUGGGGAUGGACUCGCGGCUUAUCAGCUUGUUGGUGGGGUAGUGGCUUACCAAGGCUUUGACGGGUAGCCGGCCUGAGAGGGUGACCGGCCACAUUGGGACUGAGAUACGGCCCAGACUCCUACGGGAGGCAGCAGUGGGGAAUAUUGCACAAUGGGCGGAAGCCUGAUGCAGCAACGCCGCGUGCGGGAUGACGGCCUUCGGGUUGUAAACCGCUUUCGCCUGUGACGAAGCGAGAGUGACGGUAAUGGGUAAAGAAGCACCGGCUAACUACGUGCCAGCAGCCGCGGUGAUACGUAGGGUGCGAGCGUUGUCCGGAUUUAUUGGGCGUAAAGGGCUCGUAGGUGGUUGAUCGCGUCGGAAGUGUAAUCUUGGGGCUUAACCCUGAGCGUGCUUUCGAUACGGGUUGACUUGAGGAAGGUAGGGGAGAAUGGAAUUCCUGGUGGAGCGGUGGAAUGCGCAGAUAUCAGGAGGAACACCAGUGGCGAAGGCGGUCCUCUGGGCCUUUCCUGACGCUGAGGAGCGAAAGCGUGGGGAGCGAACAGGCUUAGAUACCCUGGUAGUCCACGCUGUAAACGGUGGGUACUAGGUGUGGGGUCCAUUCCACGGGUUCCGUGCCGUAGCUAACGCUUUAAGUACCCCGCCUGGGGAGUACGGCCGCAAGGCUAAAACUCAAAGGAAUUGACGGGGCCCCGCACAAGCGGCGGAGCAUGCGGAUUAAUUCGAUGCAACGCGUAGAACCUUACCUGGGUUUGACAUGGAUCGGGAGUGCUCAGAGAUGGGUGUGCCUCUUUUGGGGUCGGUUCACAGGUGGUGCAUGGCUGUCGUCAGCUCGUGUCGUGAGAUGUUGGGUUAAGUCCCGCAACGAGCGCAACCCUUGUUCACUGUUGCCAGCACGUUAUGGUGGGGACUCAGUGGAGACCGCCGGGGUCAACUCGGAGGAAGGUGGGGAUGACGUCAAGUCAUCAUGCCCCUUAUGUCCAGGGCUUCACGCAUGCUACAAUGGCUGGUACAGAGAGUGGCGAGCCUGUGAGGGUGAGCGAAUCUCGGAAAGCCGGUCUCAGUUCGGAUUGGGGUCUGCAACUCGACCUCAUGAAGUCGGAGUCGCUAGUAAUCGCAGAUCAGCAACGCUGCGGUGAAUAAGUUCCCGGGGCU
rnacentral:rRNA from 1 species